GGACCAUAGCUCAGUGGUAGAGCAUCUGCUUUGCAUGUAGAAGGUCCUGGCUUCAAUCUCUGGCAACUCCA